GUUGAACCUUGUGUAAUCAAGUGUUUGAUAUCUGAAGAAGAUGUAAUCUAUUGUUUGAUCUUGGCCAAAAAGAGCCGAAGGAAAUAUGUUCACAGAUUUGAUUUUAUAUGGUUAAGAAUGAAACUCAGGUUGACUUCAAAACAUAUUAUGGGACAACUAUCUCGCUAAAAAUAAUUAAGUAACAGCAGUAUUUUCAUAAGUUUCAAAGAAGUAAAAGUGUAAAACUCAUUACAUCUGGUCAGGUAUAAGGACUACCAUAUAACUUGGCUAGAUAGGCCUAUUUUUUUUGUGCACCCAUUUUAGGAGCCCGUUUACAGUGCUCCUAUACGAUCUCCUCGCUGCUCCUGGUGUACUAUCUUUUCAUGGGAGAUUAUGUAGGUCCGCUUCUUUGGAGAUCCAUCAUCCAUUUGUUAAUGAGAUAUUGCAUUAAGCUUACUUUGUUCUCGAAAUGAAUAGCUUUUGAUUCCAAACUGUUAUCUAGAUUGUUUUUAGCUUUAAAGAAAAUGGUUACAAGAAUCUACAUUAUCUGUUUCAAAUUGGAAACCUCUAGAUUCCAUUUUGACACAUGAUUUCUGUAUGUAUCAUUUGCCUAGUGCCAAGUUUGCUUUUGGCUCCUUUAGCUUAUUAAUGACAUUGUAUGUUUCAGAGAUCGUGGGUACUAUUCUGUGGAGACAGCACACUUUUGGUCGUCUUGAAAAUUCGUUAGAGAGUAGAAUUACAAUCUUGAGAGGGAUUGAAGAAGUUUGGAAAAUCACUCAAGUGUAAGAAUGGUAAUGUGUAUUCUCUAGCUGCUGAUUUUGGAUCUCAACGGGAACAAUGAAAGCCAUUGAGGCAAUCCCCUAUAUAUUAUUUGAGAAGCAUUGCAACAUUUUUUUGUAGCCACGUGUCAUCACUAGAAUGAUUCUUAGAAUCCUUAGAGAAAUAGGUUGGUCCAUCUAAAUAUAUAAUAAGCUUUUUAUUAAACCA
rnacentral:lncRNA from 1 species